CCCCCUGUAGCUCAGUGGUAGAGCACCCGCUUAGUAAGCGGAAGGUCGGGUAGUUCAAUCCUGCCUGGGGGCA
rfam:Phytophthora infestans T30-4 supercont1.33 genomic scaffold, whole genome shotgun sequence.